UGCAGUCGAGGGGUAACAUUGGAGCUUGCUUCAGAUGACGACCGGCGCACGGGUGCGCACCGCGUAUGGAACCUACCUUUUACAGAGGGAUAGCCCAGGGAAACUUGGAUUAAUACCUCAUAGUAUCAUUUAUUAGCAUUAUGUAAUGAUUAAAGACUUCGGUCGGUAAAAGAUGGCCAUGCGUCCCAUUAGCUAGAUGGUAAGGUAACGGCUUACCAUGGCUACGAUGGGUAGGGGCCCUGAGAGGGGGAUCCCCCACACUGGUACUGAGACACGGACCAGACUCCUACGGGAGGCAGCAGUGAGGAAUAUUGGACAAUGGAGGAGACUCUGAUCCAGCCAUGCCGCGUGCAGGAAGAAUGCCCUAUGGGUAGUAAACUGCUUUUAUACAGGAAGAAAAAAGAGUACGUGUACUCUACUGACGGUACUGUAAGAAUAAGGACCGGCUAACUCCGUGCCAGCAGCCGCGGUAAUACGGAGGGUCCGAGCGUUAUCCGGAAUUAUUGGGUUUAAAGGGUCCGUAGGCGGGUCAAUAAGUCAGAGGUGAAAGUUUGCAGCUCAACUGUAAAAUUGCCUUUGAUACUGUUGGUCUUGAGUUAUAGUGAAGUUGCCGGAAUAUGUAGUGUAGCGGUGAAAUGCAUAGAUAUUACAUAGAACACCGAUUGCGAAGGCAGGUGACUAACUAUAUACUGACGCUGAUGGACGAAAGCGUGGGGAGCGAACAGGAUUAGAUACCCUGGUAGUCCACGCCGUAAACGAUGGAUACUAGCUGUCCGAGUCCUUGAGACUUGGGCGGCCAAGCGAAAGUGAUAAGUAUCCCACCUGGGGAGUACGUUCGCAAGAAUGAAACUCAAAGGAAUUGACGGGGG
rnacentral:rRNA from 1 species